rnacentral:rRNA from 1 species
UCCAGAGGUCUCAAGCGUUGUUCGGAUUCAUUGGGCGUAAAGGGUGCGUAGGCGGCGCGGUAAGUCGGGUGUGAAAUCUCGGAGCUUAACUCCGAAACUGCAUUCGAUACUGCCGUGCUUGAGGACUGGAGAGGAGACUGGAAUUUACGGUGUAGCGGUGAAAUGCGUAGAUAUCGUAAGGAAGACCAGUGGCGAAGGCGGGUCUCUGGACAGUUCCUGACGCUGAGGCACGAAGGUCAGGGGAGCAAACGGG